UCCCUCGAGGUGUUACAGAGAUGUUGCGUUCAAAAGUCCAAAACUGUGUUUUGUGAGGUCACCACACACGUGACCUUUGACCUUUGACCACCAAAAUCUAAUUGGUUCAUCCUUGACUCCUAGUGAAUGUUUGUGCCAAAUUUGAAGAAGUUCUGUCAAGACAUUUCAGAGAUAUCGCGUCCACGAGAAUGGGACGGACGGACAACCCGAAAACAGUAUGCCCACACCUACAUAACCCUGAUGACAUCACUAUGACAUCAUCAGGGUCGCUUUGUCAGCUUUUAGAAAGCUCAUCCAGAAUCACAGAAAACAACUUUUUUCACAAACUUUCAGUCUAACUUGCCAUUAAACUGGCAGAGUUAAACCAGCGAUAAUCAAUAUUUUAUUUAUAAUUUAUAAUUUAUUUAUUUUAAAUUUAUUUUUACAAUAACAAUGUAUCAAAUGACGUGAAAAACAACGCGUGAAAACUAUAAAAUAUACAGAUGCAAGCUGUUAUAAGAGGUGCAACACAAGGCGAUAAAUACUCAGGGGGGUAAUUAACUAAUGAGACAGAAACACUAAGUCCAGGCAGUUUUUACAAACAAAGAAGUGAACAGCCUGUGAGUCCAUGUGAAUCUGAAUCUGUUCAAAUGAAGCUGCAGUGUUCUUUGUUUUUUAUUUUUCCUUUUUGGUUCAAAAUAUCUGCUGCAUUUUGAGCCGGAUGGAAACAUGUCACAUAUAAAGUAACAAUGGAAACUAUGCUCUAAAGAAAUGAAGUGUGUAUGUGUGUGUGUCGCCCCCCCCCCCCCCUGCAUCUUCCCAAACAUUUCACCCGCCAGUCAAACUCCUGAGGUCCACCCUUCUCCUCCUCCAUCCCUCCCACCUUCCCUCCUUCCCUCCCUCCAGCCCUCCUUCCUGUUGCCAUCUACGUUUGGAGACGUUUUCGGAGCCUUUUAUUCCUCUCCUCGCCAUCUCUCUCUCCACUCUGUCACACCAUCCCACAGUCCCUCCCAUGGCCCCUUUAAUUGUCUCUUUUACAACCGCUCUCCCCGUCGCUCCCACUCGGUGCGUAAAAUGAAUUUCCCCUGAGAAAUAUUUCCCACAAGUCGCACCUCAGCUGGAUGAAGACGCCUGACGCGACACGCAGCUGAGAGUUGAGCAUUUUGCCUGGUUCAAGAUGUGGAGGGUGUGUGUGACUGCGUGGUUGUGUGUUUAGGAAAUGAGGGGGGCGUGUGUUGGGUCGUGAAUGCAGCCCUCACAGUGAAGUCUAUAAGCAACAGCUGGAUCAGCAGUCCAGCCUUGUCCCUCCGCGCCGCAGGUGAGUUCAACUUCUCCUCUCAUGUUCGGACCACAAAGGGUUUGCUGAAGGCAAAAAAAAAAAAAAAGUUUUAGAAACCCUGAAAUUAACUGUAGACAUGGGAAUAUAAACUCACACAAGGCUGUUGCAUUGGGGCCUUUCACAUUAAAUCAGUCUAGUGGUUAAAAGGUCAUGAUGCCUUCACUGUCAGGGAUCGGAAGGACUGUUUUCUGUCUCCUUUUGCUCUGGAAGAGAACAGCAGCUCAAAGUGAAAAGGUGCAAUGCUCCGCGGCCGGUCGAGUGGGCGUCCUACACCCUGUUCAGGGUCUGCUGGAGACGUUUGAGGCAGGUCCAGGCUGUGCUGCUAGACAACACGGGAACAAGGAGACUCAUGUGAUUGCUGUGGGGAGAGUGACAAACAGCCCUGAAAACAAGGUGACGGUGUUGCUGAAGCCGUUGUCUCUGUCCCUGUCACCUCUCAGAGUUCUCCACCUGCUGCUCAGCUCCAAGCUCCCAGUCAGCUGGUGGCUGGAGGCUGAGAGGCUGCCCCCCAACCUCCCAGUGCUGGUGCAGGUUUCCUCAAACUCCAGCGUACAAUCCCACACACUGCGUCUGCAUGUCCACGCGGUUCCUUUGUUACCUUUUCGCCCACGAGCGCUGCACCGCUGGGCUCUGAAACACUACGGCAACCUGUCCUCUCUGACACACACAACACACGGCAACCGGGUCUACGUCCGACUGGGAGAGGAUCCAACGCAGCCUGCGGUGUGCCAGCUACAGUCCAUGUUCCUCUCUCACAACUACUUGACCUCUGACCUGCAGCCACAGGAGGUGCAAGGCUGUGUCCACACUCCAGCAGGUGGGAUCGGCCCUGAAGUCCAUGUGAUCAAGCUCCAUUCGGCGGGAUCAGGGCUGUGUGGCUCUCUGCAGGUGGAGGUGAUUGUCUCUCUUGUGCCCCCGGUGGCCGACUCAAAGGCGCAGAAGGUUGUACUGGUUCUCAGCAGCUCGGUGCCGGUCAACUGGGCCAUUGUUGCUCAUGGUGUCCGGGGUCAUAUCUCUGUUCAUUCCUCCAACAGCGUGUCCCCACCCUUCCCUCCUGAGCCUGACCUGACCCUGUCCAGUAUGCUGAACUCUGACCUGUCCACCAUGUCUGACCUUCUCGCCUGGGCAAGUGAAAGCGGCUACACCAAGGUGACCUCAUACACUGAGGCUGACCUGGCCAAUCGCUUUGUGAUCCAGCUGGCUGGGGGCGGGACAGACGUGCUCGCGGCGAUGAACCCUCUGGUUGUGAGGCCUCCCUGGGCCGAGGAGCACAGGCUGAGGCAGUGGCUGAACGCCGGAGGCAGAGCGGGAGAAGGCCGAGAGAGUUUCACAGUGCAGUGUGAGGAUGGACGCCUCAGCGUGACCGUGGACCAACACAUCCUGCAGAGCUUGUCUGUCCCAGUGGCUGUCGUGACUCUGCAGGACCCGACGUGCCAGGCUCAGUCCAAUGGGAGCCAUUUCCUGUUGAUGUUCCCAGUCAUUUCCUGUGGGACUGAGGGUCUGCUCCUGGGACAGCCCAGAGGGGUGCAGUACAAAAACAUGAUCUUAUUGUGGAGGGACAAGCCUCAGACCAUCCUGGCGCUCGAUGAGACGGAGAGGAAGUCCAAACGUCCACUCGGCAUACAUUUUAGCUGCUUGGCUGCAGUGCCCAGCUCCUCCGGCCCUGCUGCAGAUAAUGUUGACGAGACGAACAGUCCUCAGGCCGGGCUCUCCCCCUGGACACCAGGGGAUCCAGGGCCCGAUCCAGGGCGGACCCAUCUCCCGACACCCAGACACAGAUCUGGGCCCAUUCUUAUUUUAAGACUUUUCGUCACUGAGAAUUACGAGCAGAGGCUGAUCGGCCCCUGUGUCAUCACUGCAGGCCACCGUGUCUAUGUCGAGGUUUCAGCCAAAGGACCCCUCGCAGAUGUGGUGGAGGUGAAGUCAUGUGUCGUCUCUCCUCUGUCAGACCCAAAGAAAUCUCCUUUCUGGACCGUCAUAAGCGACGGCUGCUCCUCAGACCCCUCGCUGACCCUCAGCGCAAAGUCAAAAGAUGAAGACGAGGAAGAGGAGGAAGAUGACGGCGACCUGGACGAGGAAGAAGAAGAAGAAGAAGAGGAAGAGGAAGAAGGAAUGGAGAAUGAAAGAAUCAAUCACAGAGAUGGAGAUGUCUCACUCCGACAUAAAAUUGAAAGGAGGAGGAAGGAAAAGAACCGCACAAGCAUGGGAGCAGAGCAGGAGAUGCAGCUGUUGAGAUUUAGUUUUAUCCUGCGGCCGGUUCAUAAUGACUCCAUGCAGUUCCUCCACUGCAGCCUUCGUAUGUGUGUCUCUGACUCGACCAGAGGGGAACCCAUGAAGGAAGCGGCGAGGAAUGAGUGUCAGGGCAGACUGCGUAUUCCACCGCUUGUAUCUAAGUCCCCCAAACAUCAGUGUGAGAUCAGAAACCUGUCCAGGCCCAUGGUUGUCACCCAGUCGAUCAGCUCCCUGGCACCCAAACUGCCGAGGCCUCCUGCUGGACAAAGAACCAAGAGGCUGAGUGUCUCUCCACUGGCCAGUCCGGACCCAAAGCACAGCAGCUCUGUGGUGCAGGCAGGAUCAGUGUUGGGAAUUGUCUUUACAGCCUUUAUGAUGGGUGCCAGCCUGAUGGGAGGGCUGUGGUGCAUCUACAACUAUACAGCAGCGUAUUCAACAUUAAUUGGAAGAGAAAGUCAUUUAACUGACCAGAGCCAUGGAGGCCACAACACCUGGAAUCCACUGUCACAGUCUGAUCAGUCGUCCAGCUCGGUGUAGAGGAUUUCCUCCGGCAAAUCUGAGAAAAGGAGAACUGGGACAGAGGUUCUAACAACUUGUGUGUGAGCGAGCACAGCUGCCUCUCUCUCUCUCUCUCUCUCUCUCUCUCUUUCUCUUUCUCUCUCUCUGUGUGUGUGUGUGUGUGUGUGUGUGUGUGUGUGUGUGUGUGUGUGUGUGUGCAGAGCCGUGUUUGUGCAGUCCUCCUCGCGAGUAUCGUUCAUCGCCGUGCAGCAGAAAUGCAAGAGGACUGAAACCAUGUGAAUACAGUAGCACCUACUCACCGCCGCUUCGUGACAAGUCAGAUGUGUGACUCAAAGUGAAACGUUGUUUGUUUGAUGCCGGACGCCACUCUACACCAAGUCAUUUCAAAACUGGCAGCGAAUCAUCAUAUGGAGAGACGUUUAUCUGGAUUCAACAGGAGCUAAACUUGUUUGGAAUGACUCAGACAGAAACAACAUCGUCAUCGACAGAACACAAGGUCACACAGGAUUCAUCAGGUUACCGUGCGUCUGCCUGUCUGAAGAGUCUGUGUUUUACAGAGUCAUUUUCACUAUUUGUCCUGUAACUGUGAAUCAGCUGGAUUUCAAAACUACAUCUAUGUGUAUGUGAAUUCUCUUGUGUUCAUGUGGCAAAGAAGAUGUUUUACACUGAGCUAUAAAUCCAUGUGGUCUGUCGCUCUCGAAUCACAUGUGACGCAAAUACAACAAAGGAAGUUAGUGUGUUAUGAAUAAGUCAAACAUCUACGGUGUGUAAAAUAUAUUCAUCUCUCUGUUUAAAGCAGUAAUAAAUUAUUUUUUGGCCUCUGAAGUGUAGCACAGUAAACCUGCUUUCAUAUCUGUGCAUGUAUGUUUGAAACGAACCCUAAUGAGAGCAGAAAGAGUAAAUCAAAACAUUAAAGUUGUGUGCAUUAAAAUAACUACAACAGCAGUUCCCAACCUUUUCCGACUCAUGGCCCAUUUGAAAAUCUCAAACAUGUUGCCGACCCAAACCUGGCCAAAUAAUUCUCAGAGUAUUUGUUGUUUUAAUGAUAAUGAGAAACAUAAGCUCAAUUAUUCUGUCUCUUUACUCUCUUUCUGUUUCAUUUCUUUCACUCUUCCUGUUGCUAACCAGCUAUCCAUUUUGAUAUUCCAUCUUUUAGCGCGCAGUCAGACUGAGAUAGCAAACAAGUCUAUGAUGCGAGCUUUAAAUAAACAUUUCCUUUUAAAACAUUUAAAAAUAAUAUUGUGCUGUUUUGCGAAUGAUUAGUCGGCCCACCAUUGUGCCCUGGGCCAAAGGUUGGGAACCACUGGACGAGGUGAAAGAUUCUCAAAUUGAGCUGAGUGGAAACCCCCUCAGAUUUCAGAUAGUCAAUCAAUCCAUUGCUCCAUUGCAAUAUUAUUGUUUAGUGCAUCUUUAAAUCUCAGUAUUUUUAUGUUGCAUUAGAAAUGUUACUCAUGUUUUCACGUGUAGUCUGUGUUUUGAAACUUUUAUUUUUAGAAUAUAAUUUCAAAAUAAGCUUCCUGUUGUGUGCAGCAGAACAAGAACAUCCUGUGAAUGGAUCAUCAUCAGUUAUCGCUGUUGGUAACAUGGCUGCAGUGUAUUAAGGAUGCCUGCUUCAGUAAUGCAGCUCAUAAAGACAAAGAUCAAAAAGACGCGACAACUCUCACAACCCACAGGCGGACGUACCUUUUCACAGAGUGGACAUUGGCUGACGGGGGAUUUUAGAGAAAGUGUUUGGUACCUGAAGUCCACGGAUCAUCUUUGUGGGGGCUGUUAAACUGGACCCCAUCCCAUUGUGAGCAAGCUUCAGCCAGAAGGGUUUUGACCCCAAAUGUGGGGGACGAGGGCUGCAC